UACGUAGGGCGCAAGCGUUGUCCGGAAUUAUUGGGCGUAAAGAGCUCGUAGGCGGUUCGUCGCGUCGGCUGUGAAGGCCCGCGGCUCAACCGCGGGUCUGCAGUCGAUACGGGCGGGCUGGAGUUCGGCAGGGGAGACUGGAAUUCCUGGUGUAGCGGUGAAAUGCGCAGAUAUCAGGAGGAACACCGGUGGCGAAGGCGGGUCUCUGGGCCGAUACUGACGCUGAGGAGCGAAAGCGUGGGGAGCGAACAGG
rnacentral:rRNA from 1 species